rnacentral:rRNA from 1 species
CUUGCACAAUGGGGGCAACCCUGAUGCAGCGACGCCGCGUGAGCGAUGAAGCCCUUCGGGGCGUAAAGCUCUUUCGACCGGAACGAUAAUGACGGUACCGGGAGAAGAAGCUGCGGCUAACUACGUGCCAGCAGCCGCGGUAAUACGUAGGCAGCAAGCGUUGUUCGGAGUUACUGGGCGUAAAGAGUGCGUAGGCGGUUUUCUAAGUUCGGUGUGAAAUCUCCCGGCUUAACGGGGAGGGUGCGCCGAAGACUGGGAAGCUGGAGUGUGGGAAAGGCAGGCGGAAUUCCUGGUGUAGCGGUGAAAUGCGUAGAUAUCAGGAGGAACACCGGCGGUGUAGACGGCUUGCUAGACCAUAACUGACGCUGGGGCACGAAAGCGUGGGUAGCAAACA